rnacentral:misc_RNA from 1 species
UGGACUCCAAUAGCCUGAACUGACUGACUAAAAUAAAAUACAACAAUAUUCAACAGAAACACAAGCGUCACCAGUAUCGUCUAUAAGAAAGGUAUCCACAGGGUUUGUAGUUCAAGAUCGAAUCCUACAAGAUGCAAAAUCAAGCGUUGUAACAGAUACAAGUAUACCUUACAGAAAAUUAAAAGCUACAAUAACAACCCCUAAAGGAACAAUUUUAUCAUGCACGGGUACAAAAAUAACAUCGGUGUCAUCUGUUCAAAUCCAAACG